AUUGAACGCUGGCGGCAUGCCUUACACAUGCAAGUCGAACGGUAACGGGCCUUCGGGUGCCGACGAGUGGCGAACGGGUGAGUAAUGUAUCGGAACGUACCUUUCAGUGGGGGAUAACGUAGCGAAAGUUACGCUAAUACCGCAUAUUCUGUGAGCAGGAAAGCAGGGGAUCGCAAGACCUUGCGCUGAUUGAGCGGCCGAUAUCAGAUUAGCUAGUUGGUGAGGUAAAGGCUCACCAAGGCGACGAUCUGUAGCGGGUCUGAGAGGAUGAUCCGCCACACUGGAACUGAGACACGGUCCAGACUCCUACGGGAGCAGCAGUGGGGAAUUUUGGACAAUGGGGGCAACCCUGAUCCAGCCAUGCCGCGUGAGCGAAGAAGGCCUUCGGUCGUAAAGCUCUGUCCUAUGGAAGAUAAUGACGGUACCAUAGGAGAAGCCCCGGCUAACUACGUGCCAGCAGCCGCGGUAAAGACGUAGUACA
rnacentral:rRNA from 1 species